rnacentral:misc_RNA from 1 species
GAUGAAGAACGCAGCGAAAUGCGAUACUUGGUGUGAAUUGCAGAAUCCCGUGAACCAUCGAGUCUUUGAACGCAAGUUGCGCCUCAAGCCAUUAGGUUGAGGGCACGUAUGCCUGGGCGUCACAUAUCGUUGCCUGAUGCCAGUUUCCUCGUGAUGGGUGACUGUGCAGGGCGAAUGAUGGCUUCCCGUGAGCAUUGUUGCCUCAUGGUUGGUUGAAAAUUGAGUCCUUGGUAGGGAGCGCCGUGAUAGAUGGUGGUUGAGUGACGAACGAGACCCAAUCAUGUGAGACCCCUACCGAAUUUGGCCUUCAUGACCCACAUGCGUCUUUGGAACGCUCAUGACGAGACCUCAGGUCAGGCGGGGCUACCCGCUGAGUUUAAGCAUAUCAAUAAGCGGAGGA